rnacentral:rRNA from 1 species
UCGGGAAUUUUGGGCAAUGGGCGAAAGCCUGACCCAGCAACGCCGCGUGAAGGAUGAAGUAUUUCGGUAUGUAAACUUCGAAAGAAUAGGAAGAAUAAAUGACGGUACUAUUUAUAAGGUCCGGCUAACUACGUGCCAGCAGCCGCGGUAAUACGUAGGGACCAAGCGUUGUUCGGAUUUACUGGGCGUAAAGGGCGCGUAGGCGGCAAUUCAAGUCAUCUGUGAAAUCUCCGGGCUUAACUCGGAACGGUCAGAUGAUACUGCUUUGCUAGAGUGCAGAAGGGGCAAUCGGAAUUCUUGGUGUAGCGGUGAAAUGCGUAGAUAUCAAGAGGAACACCUGAGGUGAAGACGGGUUGCUGGGCUGUAACUGACGCUGAGGCGCGAAAGCAUGGGGAGCAAACAGGAUUAGAUACCCGCGUAGUCCCUGAGCGGGCUGGCAAGGCGCAU